UACGUAGGAUGCGAGCGUUGUCCGGAAUUAUUGGGCGUAAAGAGAACGUAGGCGGUUUGUUAAGUUUGGGCUUAAAGACUGGGGCUCAACCCCAGGAGUGGCUCGAAAACUGACAGACUAGAGGAUGGCAGAGGAAAGUGGAAUUCCCAGUGUAGCGGUGAAAUGCGCAGAUAUCAGGAGGAACACCGGUGGCGAAGGCGGGUCUCUGGGCCGAUACUGACGCUGAGGAGCGAAAGCGUGGGGAGCGAACAGG
rnacentral:rRNA from 1 species